UUCCUUCUAUGUCUGAGCUCUCUACCUUUAAACUGUUUUCCACUAAAUCAAAUUUACCUGACAUCUCUAUCAAGCUGGCUUCCACAAAUUAUUUCUUGUGAAAAGCGCAAGUAGUUCCAAUCCUCGGGGCCAUAGUCUAAUUGGGUAUGCUACAAAUGAAGUAUCAUGCUCAACUUCCACCAUUCUUGAUGAUAAUGGUGAACUAAGUCUAAAUCCUACAGCAACAAAGUGGUUGCACCUUGAUUAGUUGAUCCUUAAUUGGAUGGAUCAAUGGAUCUCUUAUGAAUGUCCCACUUUCUCAAGUUAUUAACACUGAGACAUCCCAUGAAACUUGGAAGUUCUUGAGACUCAGUAUGGGAGACAUACAAGAGACAGAGUGCAGGAAAUGCGGGGUGAGCUACAGUCUCUCACAAAGGGGACAUGUUGUUGAGAGCCACCCAAGUGGCCUAAUUUGCACAGGCACCGUAAGGUGCUUUGGCUUAUUAGGCCACCCAUUCUCACUUGGCAUGUUAGGCACCUCCAGACAACUCACUCCAUUAUUUCAGCAGCAAAUUGCUGUACCGAAAUUAGCAACUUGUUGAGGAGAACUUCUCCUAUAAAUAGGAGAGUUCUGAUCUGCAGAGGAGGGAGUGGGGAGAAGAGAAAAGAAAAAGAAAGAGGGACGUGAGAGAGAUAGAAUUUUGUAGAUUUAUCUGUAAAUCUUGUACAAAUUCUAUAUAAGAGGCUCCAGUGGACGUAAGCAAUUUGCUGAAUCACUUUAAAAUUAUUUUAUGUGAUUUUCGAACAGGCCGGAGGCGCAACACAUCUUCCAUGGAAGAAUAUUUACACUAGGUUAAGUCGUUGGCCCUUUCCCUCCAUGGCACUGGGAAAUCUACGGAGGAUGAUGAUUUUGUCAUUUGCUUGCUCAGAGGUUUGGGGCCAAAAUUCGACCCUAUUGUUGCUGCACUUAAUGCAAUAGAUGAAUUUCCACCUCUUGAAAAUGUAAUAAGCAAAUUGUGAGACUUUGAACUGUGAGUAUCACCUGCAAGUGAACAAUCUACAAUCGUCGCACUAUGCAUCAAUCGCGCCUCUGGUUUUAAAUUCAAGGGAUGUGGUCAACACUCUCCAAACCAUGGAGGGAGUCAUAACACCACCCAUGGUGGUGGUGUUGCUCAUUCUUCUUGUAUCACAUGUUCCUGGUGUGGAGGUCCGAACCACAAGGCUGACAGUUGUCGUGCCUUUGAAGAUAAAUCCAAGCAAUACUAGGCAUUCCUUGUCGUUCAAGCUGGUACCACCACUAAUGAGGCUUGGUACCCAGACACAGGUGCAAAUCAACACAUGCAGACACCGAAGGUAUUCAACCAUGCAAAGGAACAACGUCUGUUCUAGUUGGUAGUGGUUUGACUCUUCCCAUUUCUGGAGUUGGUAAUUUUGAUGUUCCUAACACAUCUCUUAAGUAGAAAAAUACACUGAUUGUGCCUAAUCUUUAGAAGAAACUUCUUUCAGUGUCUCAACUUACAAUUGACAAGGGUUGCUAUUUUAUGUUCUACCCAUGGGGCUUUCUUAUUAAGGAUUUGAAUAUGAAACAAGUGCUACGUAAAGGAAGAGUUCAAGAUGGUUUAUAUCCCCUGCAUUCAAGUCUGCAUCUUACUUCUCCAGCUACUUACAUGGCAACUAAAGUUUCUACAAAUAAGUGGCAUGCUCGUUUAGGCCACCUGCCACCCACAUGCUCAGACAGUUCAAACUCUAGUGUCAUGUCUCUCUGUUUUAAAUAAAAAGUUACUUUUUGUAAAGUUGCAUCUUAAGAAAAUCAGCAAAAUUACCCUUUCACGCUUGUAGUACUCAUGCUUCUCAUUUUCUUCACACUAUUCAUACUGAUGUGUGAGAUCCUGCCUUUAUUACUUCUUAUGAUGGAUUUCGAUUUUAUCUAGUGAUUAUUGAUGAAUUUUGUAGAUAUAUUUGGUUAUUUCUUAUGGCAUGAAAAUUCGAUGUUAUUUA